GCUAUCUUGGCCGAGUGGUUUAAGGCGUUGGUCCCAAGUCUUCGAUCUCACGAUCUAUCUUGAACACACCAAUAUCGAAAGAUGCGCAGGUUCGAACCCUGCAGAUAGCA